rnacentral:lncRNA from 1 species
AUUUUCUAUGUAUAUUAUAUUUCACUUGCAUCCCAGUAAUUUAAUGAAAAUUUAUUCUAUUCUAUUUAUUGAUUUAGUCUAUUUAUAAAUAGACUAGGUUUAAUAAUCUGUAAUUACUUUAAAUCUCAUUACCAUAAAUUUAUUUUUCAUAUUGUGUAGCUUAAUAGUGUCCACCUCAAUUUUUAUUGUUUCAUAUUUACAGUGAAAAAUAAAACCACACCUGUCCCACUAAGGAGAGAUGGGAUUGUGUUUCUUCCUGGAUCCUACUUCAAAAAUAAAGACCUAUAGCUUAAACUAUACCAAACUUAGCGUUUGAUGAAGUGUUAUGUAUGUAUUAAUACUCUCUCCCUGUGUUUGGAUGCAAGGACACCGGGUUUCGACUGGACGCACUGGACGCCAUCCUGCAACAGGAAGUCCUGCUCCAAGAGGAUGUGGAGCUGAUUGAGCUGCUUGAUCCCAGCAUCCUGUCUGCAGGGCACCCGCAACAGGAAAAUGGACACCUUCCAACACUCUGCUCCCUGGCAACCCCUAACAUUUGGGAUGUCUCCAUGCUGUUUGCCUUCAUUAGUCUGCUCAUCAUGCUUCCCACGUGGUGGAUUGUGUCUUCCUGGCUGGUA